AAUAAGAGCUCUACAUAGUCAGU
rnacentral:piRNA from 1 species